CGCCGCCGGAGCGCCGCGUCCUGACGUUCGGACGAGCGCUCAGUGGCAACGGCGACCGUGGUCAUGGUCGACGCGCGCGACCCGGCGGCGAUGCCAUAGGCGACCGGCUCCAGGCGCGCCACCGCGUAGGCCGCCGCCAUGCCCAUGUCGGCCACCUUGACCAGCCAACCCCGAUUGGGCAGCACAAAGGCAUCAGUCACGCCGAUGCCGUCUCCUCCUUCUUCGAACCCCUCGUCGCUGGUCCCGUCCGCGCCUCCAGUCGGCCUGCGCCAGGUCAGCGCGAAUCCAGCCGCCGCUGCCGUCUCCUCCUGGCGAAAGUAGCGCGCGCCCGGUUCCAGAGCCUUGAGCAGCAGAUUGGCGGGCCGCACAUCGAGCACGUUGAGACCGAACGCGGCCUGCAUGACGGCCAGCGUGUGCAGCACGGAAACGCAAAUUUCGACGGCAGCACUUUCGAUGCGUCUCACACGUCCGGCCAGGCCGCCCAUGGGCCGACCCUCGACCAGAUCGAGGAAUAGCGGCAGGCGCUCGACGCUCGACACGUACGUGGCCCCCGCCGCGGCGCCGACGGGCGUGCCCGGAGCCGCGAUGCCCAGCCGCUCCUGUAUGAUGCACAGCGGGCGCUCCGCGGCCAGGCCCGGACAGACAAAGGCCCGCGCCUGCACGACGGUACCCGGCGUGAUGCCGUCGGUAAAGAGGCCGCUCGCCAGCGCCGACAAGAGGGCCUCGGUCUCGACCUCGAUGGGACACGCGUACUCUUGGCGGCGCGUGUCCCAACACGGCAGCGAGCGCAUAAAGUCAUAAACGCUGUCCGUGGUGCCUGGCACGGCCAGCGCGGCGGUCGGUAUCUUGAUGGCCAGUGGAACGUCGAUGCGCCCCAGGUCUCCCUCCAUGUCAGCGCUCGUUGCCGGCCGUUCGAGUGCGUAGACGCGAGCGUUCGUGCCGGCUCCGAGCAGCCGCCCAUACACAACGCCCGCGCCCACAACGGAGCCACUCACCGGUGUGCCCUGUGCACGCAGACCGGCAGGUCGCUCUCGGACCAUUUCGACUGACUCUACGGGGCAGAAUGAGGCGUUGGCCGCAGGCGACAGCAGAGUCGUCACAGCGUCGUCCUGUUCGCCUUGCGGGCGCUGGAUGGCCGCUGUCAGCGCCACCGUUUGUGAUUCCGCCCGUGGCGGCUCGGCACCCGUUGGCACUACUGUUGCCGCUGCCCGAGCGGGCGGCGCUCUGCGUGCGCCCACUGUCAUGCGCCCGAGCGCAUCCGCGAGCGCGGUGACCCCUCCAGACGGCACAAACGUGGGUCUUGCGACAGCUGGCGCGCGUCGUCGCUGUUGCAUCGUGACUUGCCUUGUCUUUCUGGGUCCUCCCCUUCCCGGACGACGUCAGCCGACCCAGUGCGUUCGCACAUCACCCGCCGAGGCGUGCGGCGGAUCCGCCUUUGUCGACCUAUUGCUUUCAAACAAUGGGAAGCGCACGGUGCCGCUUCCAAAUCGCUGAGGACGCGAUUUGACGUGUUUGGUCGUUGCUCUUUCUGUCGCUCGCUCUUUGUUGUCCUUUGCGUUGCUUUGCCCUCGCGCAGCACAACCCAUCGUCGUUGGCUCCCGACACAAGGGUCCGCCGAAAGUGCGACGCGGGGCGCAAAAAAAACCAAGAUAAAGAGACGCCUUUGUGAUGAGAGAGAAAAAAAAGAGAAAAAGGACCCAAGGACCGCGAUGAGAUAGGGCCGGUCCCCACCGCCGUGUCGUCCCACUAAGG
rnacentral:lncRNA from 1 species